CCUACGGGUGGCAGCAGUGAGGAAUAUUGGUCAAUGGGCGGAACCCUGAUCCAGCGACGCAGCGUGAGUGAAGAAGUCUUUCGGUGUGUCAAGCUCUAUCAGCAGGGAAGAAAAUGACGGUACCUGACUGAGAAUCCCCGGCUAACUACGUGACAGCAGCCGCGGUAAUACGUAGGGGGCCAGCGUUAUCCGGAUUUACUGGGUGUAAAGGGAGCGUAGACGGUGCAGCAAGUCUGAUGUGAAAGGUCCGGGCACAACCCCGGCACUGCAUGGGAAACUGUUGAACUGGAGUACAGGAGAGGUAAGCGGAAUUCCUAGUGUAGCGGUGAAAUGCGGAGAUAUUAGGAGGAACCCCAGUGGCGAAGGCAGCAUGCUGGCUCCACACUGACGCUGAGGCACGAAAGCGUGGGUAUCGAACAGGAUUAGAUACCCGGGUAGUC
rnacentral:rRNA from 1 species